GCAUAGCUACUGUCAGUCAUUCUAACAAGUUGACUUAGCACUCAGUCACUUUCCAACUAUAGGAUUCUCAUACUGUCAAAAGCCUAAAACUCCUGUUUGAAGUCCAAAUAGAGUGGAAUAAAAAUGUGAGGAGAUAAGGUAUUUUCCCACUACUGCUACCACACCAACCACACUACGUCAAAUGCCUUACUAAAUCAUCACCAAAAUGAUAAAGGAAGUUUAUCCCACCUGAGUAAUGCUGUUGGCUGCUGUAAUUCCAUUAUUACGGUUUUUCAUCAUGAACAUUUCAGUGUGCUUCUUAGAAAAGAGCAUGCAAGAUCCCCACAUCAGACAUCCUUUAGCAAUUGAAUGCUGGAUUUUGACCAUGACAGAAGAGGGACUUCCACCAACGUUCUGCUACAUCCUUAUCUUCAAGACGUACGCUCAUCCAGCUUCACUGCUUCAGUUCUUCUUUGCUGCUUCACUGGCGAGUUAGUUCACUUCAGUUGCUGUGACACCUGCAGUCACUGACAACGGGAUUAUGGCCAGGUACCGGACAAUUUACUUAUUUUCGUGGAUUAUCUACUAGUCAUCCAUUUGCGUUAAACUCUCUGUCUGUGUAAUAAUUCCAAAAUCAGGCUCUUCUUGCGCGCAACUUAGCUUGUUACUUAGACGUUUCUUUUUCUAACGCUAGAUGGCUUUUCGAUAAUUGUCAGAUGUCAAAACAGUC